rnacentral:tRNA from 1 species
GCCUCUAAGGGGGAUGGAAGAUAUUCUUUCUUUGAUCAGAUUAUGCGAUUGAAGGUUUUCAGUUUUCCUCGUAGGGCUUGUAGCUCAGUCGGUUAGAGCGCGCGCUUGAUAAGCGUGAGGUCGGAGGUUCAAGUCCUCCCAGGCCCACCAGUUCCGCUAUGCUGCACUUUGCUCUGAUAAGCUGAGAAGGCGCUCAGUGAGACUGAUCGUAAUCCCUUUUUGGAUAAUUCCUUAAAAGAAUUUAUUGCCUCAAUCAAUUUUUUCUAAAAGUGUUUAGAACCUCCAUAGAAACUUAAAGCUUUCUAGAGCAAUGAACUCUUCAUGAGAAAUUUGGACCCUUCGUGAGAAAGUAUUGUCUCUCCUUUUCAAUAAGGGACAAAACAGGGAAAAGAGCAGGCCAAUAUUGUGUCUCUGUUUGUUUUAAAAAGCCUCUGUUUUUUAGAAUAUAGCGUUUUUAAAAGAGCAAGAUGUGAGGGAGUUUUAGCUGUUUUAGGGGCCGUAGCUCAGCUGGGAGAGCACCUGCUUUGCAAGCAGGGGGUCGUCGGUUCGAUCCCGUCCGGCUCCACCAUAUGGUUCAUCAUCAUUGUUAAAAGAAUAGUUAUUGCAAGAGAUGAAGUAAUCUCUUU